AGCGGAGCAUGUGGUUUAAUUCGAAGCAACGCGAAGAACCUUACCAGGGCUUGACAUCCCUCUGACAGUCCCUUAACCGGGACCUUCUUCGGACAGAGGAGACAGGUGGUGCAUGGUUGUCGUCAGCUCGUGUCGUGAGAUGUUGGGUUAAGUCCCGCAACGAGCGCAACCCUUGUCUUUAGUUGCCAUCAUUCAGUUGGGCGCUCUAGAGAGACUGCCGAGGACAACUCGGAGGAAGGUGGGGAUGACGUCAAAUCAUCAUGCCCCUUAUGUCCUGGGCUACACACGUGCUACAAUGGCUGGUACAAAGAGACGCAAGACCGCGAGGUGGAGCAAAUCUCAAAAACCAGUCCCAGUUCGGAUUGUAGGCUGCAACUCGCCCACAUGAAGCUGGAAUCUGUAGUAAUCGUGUCUCAAAAUGGCACGGUGAAUAUGUCCCUGCUCCUU
rnacentral:rRNA from 2 species